GACGAACGCUGGCGGCGUGCUUAACACAUGCAAGUCGAACGGAAAGGCCCUGCUUUUGUGGGGUGCUCGAGUGGCGAACGGGUGAGUAACACGUGAGUAACCUGCCCUUGACUUUGGGAUAACUUCAGGAAACUGGGGCUACUACCGGAUAGGAGCUCCUGCUGCAUGGUGGGGGUUGGAAAGUUUCGGCGGGUGGGGAUGGACUCGCGGCUUAUCAGCUUGUUGGUGGGGUAGUGGCUUACCAAGGCUUUGACGGGUAGCCGGCCUGAGAGGGUGACCGGCCACAUUAGGACUGAGGUACGGCGCAGAGUCCUACGGGGGACAGCAGUGGGGAAUAUUGCACAGUGGGCGGAAGCCUGAUACAGCGACGCCGCGUGCGGGAUGACGGCCUUCGGGUUGUAAACCGCUUUCGCCUGUGACGAAGCGUGAGUGACGGUAAUGAGUAAAGAAGCACCGGCUAACUACGUG
rnacentral:rRNA from 1 species